rnacentral:rRNA from 1 species
AGCGAACGCUGGCGGCAGGCUUAACACAUGCAAGUCGAGCGGGCAUAGCAAUAUGUCAGCGGCAGACGGGUGAGUAACGCGUGGGAACGUACCUUUUGGUUCGGAACAACACAGGGAAACUUGUGCUAAUACCGGAUAAGCCCUUACGGGGAAAGAUUUAUCGCCGAAAGAUCGGCCCGCGUCUGAUUAGCUAGUUGGUGAGGUAAUGGCUCACCAAGGCGACGAUCAGUAGCUGGUCUGAGAGGAUGAUCAGCCACAUUGGGACUGAGACACGGCCCAAACUCCUACGGGAGGCAGCAGUAAGGAAUAUUGGACAAUGGGGGAAACCCUGAUCCAGCCAUGCCGCGUGAAUGAAGAAGGCCUUCGGGUCGUAAAGUUCUUUUAGCUGUGACGAUAAUGACGGUAACAGCAGAAAAAGCUCCGGCUAACUCCGUGCCAGCAGCCGCCGUAA